UUUGCACCCUAAUUAAUUCGAAAGAAUCAGCGUUCUUCAGUUAAAAUAUACAGGGGCGGUCCCUGGGGAGGGAUGAAGCAGGGAUGAUUGUCUGUCCUCAUCUGCAACCCUAAAGAGCCCCCUGGACCCCGGAGUGAAAGGGAGGUAUUGGCAGCUAUGAUUCUCACCAUCAGCAAAGAGGAUGCCUGCGAGUUUCUCAGAAGACACUCAGCAUCAGCUUUUUCCUGAUUGCUAUUCUUCUGGGCACUUAGGUUUAUGGUGAUGGCCAGGACGAGAUGGGAGUCGUGGGUUAUUUCCCCAGGAACUUGGUCAAGGAACAGCGUGUGUACCAGGAAGCUACCAAGGAAGUUCCCACCACGGAUAUUGACUUCUUCUGCGAGUAAUAAAUUAGUUAAAACUGCAAAUAGAAAGAAAACACCAAAAAUAAAGAAAAGAGCAAAAGUGGCCAAAAAAUGCAUGUCUGUAAUUUUGGACUGACGUUUUAAGAAUUUGUUACCUUACAGAAGAGCAAGGGCUUAGGGGUUGGAGGUGGCAGAUAAAAGAGGAUUUUCAACUCAAAUCUUGUUUCCUGCUGGCCUGGUCUGCCCACGAGCUAGAGCGGGGAAAUGUUGAGCUCAAAUGGGUAAAUUGAGACCAGAAAAUUAUUUUUUCAACCUAGAGAAUCUCCUCUUACAGGGGGAUGCAUAUAACAGAUCAUGUAUGUGUAGUUAUUUCUAAGUAGUAAUUCUUCCCAGCUCUCUGAUUUCCCAUAUAUAAAAUAGGUGGGUCGUAUGUCUUCCCUUUAGACAUGAUGUUUUCUACUCAUUUGUCUCUCUGGCCAAUUGAAUUAUUAAUAAAAGGUCUGUAUUAUCAAAGAGUAUUCUAGUAUUUUUGUUACUUUUAAUAUUUGAUGCCUUUUGGAGGUAAAGCUGUUGGGGGAAGAAGAGUUUUUGGACCCAUAGAUGUUUGGAUGAUGUCUCUAAUUUUUUUUUUUUUUUUUUUUUUUUUUUUUUUUUUUUUUUUUUUUUUGUCUCUAAUUUGUCAUUUAGAAAAAUCUCAAAAAUGAUUUCAGUUGAAUAACUUGCCUUUUAAAUGAUCAAUUUACUUCUCCCCCAAUUUUAA
rnacentral:sRNA from 1 species